rnacentral:tRNA from 1 species
UCCCUGGCAGUCCAGUGGUCAGGACUCCACACUUGCAGUGUGCAGGGCAUGGGUUUGAUCCCUGGUCAGGGAA